AAUACCGUUGUAUUUCAACGCUUCGCAUCAGAUUCCUAAUCUGAGGGUCACUGGUUCGAAUCCAGUCGGGAUCACCA
rnacentral:tRNA from 1 species